GUGAUUGUGACUCAGUGGUGGCGUACUUGCCUAGCAUGUGUGAGGCACUGGGUUCGAUCCUCAGCAUCACA
rnacentral:tRNA from 1 species